rnacentral:rRNA from 1 species
GAUGAACGCUGGCGGCGUGCCUAAUACAUGCGAGUCGAGCGAACGGACGAGAAGCUUGCUUCUCUGAUGUUAGCGGCGGACGGGUGAGUAACACGUGGAUAACCUACCUAUAAGACUGGGAUAACUUCGGGAAACCGGAGCUAAUACCGGAUAAUAUUUUGAACCGCAUGGUUCAAAAGUGAAAGACGGUCUUGCUGUCACUUAUAGAUGGAUCCGCGCUGCAUUAGCUAGUUGGUAAGGUAACGGCUUACCAAGGCAACGAUGCAUAGCCGACCUGAGAGGGUGAUCGGCCACACUGGAACUGAGACACGGUCCAGACUCCUACGGGAGGCAGCAGUAGGGACUCUUCCGCAAUGGGCGAAAGCCUGACGGAGCAACGCCGCGUGAGUGAUGAAGGUCUUCGGAUCGUAAAACUCUGUUAUUAGGGAAGAACAUAUGUGUAAGUAACUGUGCACAUCUUGACGGUACCUAAUCAGAAAGCCACGGCUAACUACGUG